rnacentral:rRNA from 1 species
GAUGAACGCUGGCGGCGUGCUUAACACAUGCAAGUCGAACGAAGCUGUUAAAAGGAAGUCUUCGGAUGGAAUUUUAACAGACUUAGUGGCGGACGGGUGAGUAACGCGUGGAUAACCUGCCUUAUACAGGGGGAUAACGGAGAGAAAUUUCCGCUAAGACCGCAUAAGACCACAGCACCGCAUGGCGCAGGGGUAAAAUAUUAAUAGGUAUAAGAUGGAUCCGCGUCCGAUUAGCUGGUUGGUGAGGUAGAGGCUCACCAAGGCGACGAUCGGUAGCCGGCCUGAGAGGGUGAACGGCCACAUUGGGACUGAGACACGGCCCAAACUCCUACGGGAGGCAGCAGUGGGGAAUAUUGGACAAUGGGGGAAACCCUGAUCCAGCGACGCCGCGUGAGUGAAGAAGUAUUUCGGUAUGUAAAGCUCUAUCAGCAGGGAAGAA